UGGUUCGAUACGUCGGAUGUGAAAAUCAGGGGCUCAACCCUGACCUGCAUCCGAUACGGUCGAGCUAGAGUUUGGUAGGGGAGACUGGAAUUCCUGGUGUAGCGGUGGAAUGCGCAGAUAUCAGGAGGAACACCGAUGGCGAAGGCAGGUCUCUGGGCCAAUACUGACACUGAGGAGCGAAAGCGUGGGGAGCGAACAGGAUUAGAUACCCUGGUAGUCCACGCCGUAAACGGUGGGCGCUAGUUGUGCGAACCUUCCACGGUUUGUGCGACGCAGCUAACGCAUUAAGCGCCCCGCCUGGGGAGUACGAUCGCAAGAUUAAAACUCAAAGGAAUUGACGGGGCCCCGCACAAGCAGCGGAGCAUGCGGCUUAAUUCGACGCAACGCGAAGAACCUUACCAAGGCUUGACAUAUACAGGAAUAUGGCAGAGAUGUCAUAGCCGCAAGGUCUGUAUACAGGUGGUGCAUGGUUGUCGUCAGCUCGUGUCGUGAGAUGUUGGGUUAAGUCCCGCAACGAGCGCAACCCUCGUUCUGUGUUGCCAGCAUUAAGUUGGGGACUCACAGGAGACUGCCGGGGUUAACUCGGAGGAAGGUGGGGAUGACGUCAAAUCAUCAUGCCCCUUAUGUCUUGGGCUGCACGCAUGCUACAAUGGCUGGUACAAACGGCUGCGAUACCGCAAGGUGGAGCGAAUCCGAUAAAGCCAGUCUCAGUUCGGAUUGGGGUCUGCAACUCGACCCCAUGAAGUCGGAGUUGCUAGUAAUCGUAGAUCAGCAACGCUACGGUGAAUACGUUCCCGGGGCUUGUACACACCGCCCGUCACAUCACGAAAGUCGGUAACACCCAAAGUCAGUGGCCCAACCGUAAGGAGGGAGCUGCCAAAGGUGGGAUCGGUGAUUGGGACGAAGUCGUAACAAGGUA
rnacentral:rRNA from 1 species